UCGACCCUCCGAACCUCCCCCGACCUGCCUCGGCUCUCAGCUCCAUCUCCCCACGGCCCACGACCUCGUCCCGACGGUUCCUCCACCCCCGCGCGCUCCUCCUCCUCCACCCCCCGCCGCCUACCCCGGCGCGCCCCUGCCUCCUCCUCCGCCCCGCGCGCUCCCCCUCCUUCUCCGCCCCCGCCGCCUGCCGGAGAUAAGUGGAGUUCCGGCGGCCGCGGAUCCGGCUAUCGUGGCCUACGAGGAGUUCGUCGCGGAGGCAGUCGGGCGGCUCACGGUAGCCGCCGAGAAGAUCGGCGGGAAGGUGCUCGACGCCACCAAGCUUCUUACCGAGGUCUUCGCCGUCGCCAAUGCAAGGACCUGCUCGUCCAGGCCAAGCAGCUCCAGAUACGGGACAGUCGCGCUUCCCUCCUCAGUUGCGUCGAAUGCGCUCCGCGUGUAGAUCUCCGCGUGUUCUGCCCAUCAGAUGCCUCCUUUCCUCCACGACUUCCUCCCUUGCUCCGGGACGCCGGGGUUCCAGGGAGAUCAGGCGGCUGAACUACGGCCUACGGGUAGGAACGAGGAGGUCUGGCCCACCGCACGGAGGCACUGGAGCCCUACGCGUCACUGCCAUCAUCGCCGGCAGCUGCAACAUCCUCGCCAUCUGUGAUGACAGCCGCUUGCAUCCGCUUCCCAACAGCCCUUCGUGUUUAUUCAUCGCGAGCUUGUGUUCUGACCUGGUUGGUUGUGUUUCCUUGCCGUGCGCAGCUCUUCACGUGGGUGGACCUGCGAGGAUCUCAGCUUGAUGUUCUUUGAGCUUUCAGAUCUUUUGCUGAAGCAUAAAUAGAACUCCAGCCAAUGAAAUAAAUUUGAUAUUUUUUGUUACUCAAGUGACAAAUUCAUUUGCUGCACUCCGAUUGAUGACUACUGGGAAGCCAGCGCUGCUGUUCAGCCAUUAUCAAUGGGGAGUACGAAGCAGCACAUCAAACAAGCUCGUCAGCAUGUGAAGGUUCAUCUUCUCAAGGCUGCAGGAAGUUCUUAUGAGUUAUGCCCAUUCUUACUCUAUGGCAAUCCUGGCAGCAGUCCCGUGGCUUAAUUUGUCACCUCUUUAUUGCACUACCAUCAAACCAUGAGAAGGUGCACUGCAGCAUUACUUUUCAUUUGUCUCCAUAUCCAAUAUGGUCAUUGUGGCUGUCUAACCAAAGGCGAGUAAAGGUAUGGCUGUGAAACAAGGAACUACCGCUGGACACUCUUUCCUAGCCAGAGAUUAUUGUGCAGUGGAAUAGCUUACUGGUGGCCCAUGUUCUACUGCCCAGGCAUGGCUCUCUUGGAGUGUCGUCGAUUGGUGAUCAUGGCUAAAGACUGGGGACAUUGUCAAGGAAGACAACCGGGUCCAUGCUCAUCAUGGCCUCUACUAUAGGGAGAUCCUCCUCGAACGCCCCUGUGCCCCUAGGUUAUCAGGCGGAAGAUUACCUUCGGUGCGCAGCUUCUAGAACCUGGACUUGUGUUUGCUAAUUGCUCAUAUUCUAAUUGAGUUAAAUAUGUUUCGUGCACAUGCCUAAUUAAACGAUAGUUUAGAACCGAUGGAGUAAUAUAAAUCGGUGUGUUGGUA